CACGCAGGCGGUCUCUUAAGUUUGACGUGAAAGCUCCCGGCUUAACUGGGAGAGGUCGUUGAAUACUGGGAGACUUGAGGCAAUGAGAGGGGUGUAGAAUUCCCGGUGUAGUGGUGGAAUGCGUAGAUAUCGGGGGGAAUACCAGUGGCGAAAGCGGCACCCUAGCGUUAGCCUGACGCUCAUGUGCGAAAGCGUGGGGAGCGAACG
rnacentral:rRNA from 1 species